rnacentral:sRNA from 1 species
UGUAACAAGCCACCAUCACUUCGGGCCUC